AAGCGUUAGAUUUGUAAUGAAACUAGUUAGCUGCCCAUGCGUUGCUACGGAAAUAAAUUAUACUCCCUUCGUCCCAUAUUAAGUGCACUCAAACAAUGUUUGGUUUCAAAGUGUGCACACACGCUGAUUUAAAUUGUGUCGUGUUAUUUCCCGCCGAACAUGCUAAGUCGCCGCACGUGUUAUUCUUUCUUCCUACCUCACUCAUCUCGGCCCAUCACCCAAUUUUGCUCCACUUCACUUCUCUCCGCCAUAGCACACAGUGUUUCAUCACAUUCAAAACAUCCUAUUUCUGAUAGCUACUACAUCUGUAAACAAAUAUAAGUCGUUUUAGAGACUUGACGGAGGGAGUAGUUUCUAUCAAACUAGGUAAUUCCCCCGCGCGUUGCUGCGGGAAUUCUUAGUCCUACGCACGUGGUAAUGCAUAAAUAGAAUAACUUUGUUUGAAUAAGAUGGAUAUAUGAUCUUAAGAUGAUUUUUUCUGGAAUGGACAUAAUACUUGCAGUAUAAUUAUAAAGAUAGCAAAUGUAGUGUUAUGGCAUAAGUAAUCUCAUAUCAUUUACAUUAAUAAUAUUGUAUAUAAACACUCUAAGAGCCGGAUUCUCAAAUGGAGAUGCGAUGAAAGGUAUGUACAAAUUCCCAUUACUUAAUGUGUAUUAUAUGUGGAUCCUGUUGUAAAUAUCUUCUGCAUGUUACUCCCUUCGUUCCUAAAUAUUUGUCUUUCUAGAGAUUUUGACAAGUGACUAUAUACGGAGCAAAAUGAGUGAAUCUACACUCUAAAAUAUGUCCAUUUGAGUCUCUAAAAAGACAAAUAUUUAGGAACGGAGGGAGUAUUACAUAAGUUCUACAGAAUAUAACCAAAUUGUUCAUAUAUAAAAGCAAGUGUAAAAAUAGGGUGUGUUGCAACAUAUAGUUGUAUCUACUAAUAAACUGGAAACAUUAGUUUGUUCUUGUGUUCGUUAACAUCUCUGGUAGCUUAUAUAAUAAUUAGUGUGAACACCUACGAACAUAUUCCUCUUUCCAAAUGAGAAGGGUAUGUUCUGAGGCGAAGCUAAUGCAGAUAGUAGUAGCGGAUGCUUGACAUGAAGGGAUGAUACCGUACUCAGGCUUCAUCUUGCUAAUCAUAAUAUGAAAUCUCUACAAAAUAUUAGAAUGGGCUAAUGAGUCUGGGCAUUAUAUGCAAGCUAUACAAAAUUCUUAUAGAUCAUACACUGAGAUUGGACAGAGAUUAGUAACAUUGUGCAUGUAGAAUAUAAGUAAAUAAGAUGGAACUUCACAAUUGACAGAAGCAACGAAUAUUUUGAGGAGAGAUCCAAUUAAUAUUGCAGCUGAAAGAAAAUAGAAGGUGCCUGCAAGAAAUGACGAUGUAGGUGGAAGCAACGUAUCAAUCCCCUGCUACUUGAGCAGGAAAAAUAAGGUACCUAUGUACGUAUACAUGGAGGUAAGAGGGCAGAGGGAAUUGCAAGCUUUCCCUUUUUAAUAAAGUGUCUAAGGCAUUAAGACAAUCAGCAAGAGCACCAUCGAAAACUAGAAAGUGCACUGGAAUAGCACCACUUGAGCUAUCAAAUGUUUAAUAAAAGAAAUUAAUUGCACAGCUGCUAGUUUGAUUCACGUCGUUAAAGCUUGUGUUAAGCAAUUCAGUAAGCAUCUCCCAACAAAGCAGUAGGAGCAGUAAAGGAGCAGAGAUACUGAAUUAACUUAAAAGGUGGGUUCCUCCAGAAACAAUGACAUAAACUUAAUCUGCAGAAGAAAUACUAUGCCUGAAAACUAUAGAUGUUCUAGGACUAAAGGUGCCAAUGGCCAUGGGAAAUAAAUAGCAGGAAUUCCAGCGCUUUAAGCAUGGAACAAACAGAAUAAUAAAUGCAUGAAUAGUAAGGAAAAUCGGGUGAGUAUGAAAGAACAAAGUAAAGGCACAUGAACUUCAUCUUGGC
rnacentral:lncRNA from 1 species